rnacentral:rRNA from 1 species
GUUUGAUCCUGGCUCAGAUUGAACGCUGGCGGCAUGCCUUACACAUGCAAGUCGAACGGCAGCACGGGAGCAAUCCUGGUGGCGAGUGGCGAACGGGUGAGUAAUAUAUCGGAACGUGCCCAGUCGUGGGGGAUAACGCAGCGAAAGCUGUGCUAAUACCGCAUACGAUCUAUGGAUGAAAGCGGGGGACCGUAAGGCCUCGCGCGAUUGGAGCGGCCGAUAUCAGAUUAGCUUGUUGGUGGGGUAAAAGCCCACCAAGGCGACGAUCUGUAGCUGGUCUGAGAGGACGACCAGCCACACUGGAACUGAGACACGGUCCAGACUCCUACGGGAGGCAGCAGUGGGGAAUUUUGGACAAUGGGCGCAAGCCUGAUCCAGCAAUGCCGCGUGCAGGAUGAAGGCCUUCGGGUUGUAAACUGCUUUUGUACGGAACGAAACGGCUCUUUCUAAUAAAGAGGGCUAAUGACGGUACCGUAAGAAUAAGCACCGGCUAACUACGUGCCAGCAGCCGCGGUAAUACGUAGGGUGCGAGCGUUAAUCGGAAUUACUGGGCGUAAAGCGUGCGCAGGCGGUUAUAUAAGACAGAUGUGAAAUCCCCGGGCUCAACCUGGGACCUGCAUUUGUGACUGUAUAGCUAGAGUACGGUAGAGGGGGAUGGAAUUCCGCGUGUAGCAGUGAAAUGCGUAGAUAUGCGGAGGAACACCGAUGGCGAAGGCAAUCCCCUGGACCUGUACUGACGCUCAUGCACGAAAGCGUGGGGAGCAAACAGGAUUAGAUACCCUGGUAGUCCACGCCCUAAACGAUGUCAACUGGUUGUUGGGUCUUCACUGACUCAGUAACGAAGCUAACGCGUGAAGUUGACCGCCUGGGGAGUACGGGCCGCAAGGUUGAAACUCAAAGGAAUUGACGGGGACC